UCUUCGGCGUGUCUCAGAUCCGACAUCUACGUUUCCUUCGUUUUUUCUCCAUCAACUUCUUCUGUCGUUCUCUCUCUUCCGCUCGCAAUCUGGUCUUGUAUUCUUCUUUUCCAGGCACUACGAAGCUUUAUAUUCCUGGUCUACAUAACAAGUUUCUGAAUGACUAUGGUAUAUUCUACUCCUCCCACAACCCGCCUGCGUCUUUCUGCCUGUGAUUCUUGUUCGCUUUUUUUCCCUUUUUUCCCCUCGCCCGAUUCGGCGUUUCUGGUUAAAUACAUUGGGACAAGUUUCGGAAUUGAACAAAUAUGUAGCAUUUGUAUUUGUCCAAGUCACUGUGUCCCAAAUCAAAGUGGCUGAUGAACAGUCUUCUCCUGUGAGGAAGGAAGGAGGCUACUGUCAGCCUCACAUUUUACAUUUGUUUCCUUUUCCAUAAGAUAAUUUCCUUAGCCCGAAGCAGCUCUUGUGAUGCAAUGAUUGGCUGCUCUAGUUUCACCAUAUCUUCUCCAGCUGUGGCUCCCAAGGAAAAUCCUGUAGUUCGUGUGCUUUUGAAAUUCUCUUGAUUUCUUGACAGUUCGUUUCUAUAGGUUGCCGGCGACACACUAGGGGAAGGAUAUAGGGAAUGCCAAUUUGAAUCCGCUUACAGUUUGUGUUGCCUAUAUAUUUUCCUGAUGUAUCCCUUGAAUCAAAUUUGAUCAAUCCAUGGUAUUCUGAGCCUUGGUAUACAUGCUUUGAUGCUCCAUCAAAUUUCUUGUUGGAUACUAUUUCGUGUUUUGCCCAUGUCAACAUAGAACUUUGCUUAUGAAUAGUAGUGGCUUUUGUUCCUUUGUAUCUUCUAAUAUGUAAAAUGAUGUGUUGCGAGUUUCCUUUUCAGUUUCGGGUUCGUUCAGAGGCUGGUUGAGCCAUACUGUAGACAAGUUUUUUAAGGAGUAUCAUUGAUCUACUGGUGUUGCGUCUCCUAUAUUAAACCUUGAGAUGGUCCUUGGUACCAUUGAUGAUUGCGGUGCGGCAGAAGUUUUGGCAAGUGGAAGAGGAUGCUGCUGCCAUUGGAAAAAUUUCAUUUUCAGAGAUCUACAAUUAUGAGACUAGUUUUGGAACCUGUCCCAUAAAUUAUUAACCACUCUUUGUGCUGAUAGGAGAAUAGAAAAAGUAUAGGAAGUGUAUCUUCACUGUCAUGUCAGCUUUAGACUAGUUACUAGGCCUUAAGGAGGUCUCCUGAAUUUCGUAUUUGUGGAUGCAUGCAUGUUCACCUCCUUAACUUGUUGAAGAUACUUUAUAAUACAAGACCGGCCAAGGAACUUUGAUGGAUGGAUAUAAUACAUCAAAUGUGGAUAUCCUUUCUUAGUUGUUUAAUAUCCGGUACUAAUUUUUCCUUGAAGUUUCAGAUCUUUUGAUAAUAGACUGGUUUGAGAUGGAGAAAGGAAAAGGAAGUAAUUUGGGAAAAGUUCUUCUGUGGGAACAAACGUUGUGGUGAAAAGGAUGGAUUAUAGCAAGCUUUGAGGCCCUUUCUCACUGAUAACACGCAAUUUACCAUACGAUUUCAUAUCAGAUGUCCUUUGUUUUCACCGUAAGACCAUUGAAUUUGAUUUCUUCAUCUGUAUCCAUAUUUAUCAUUCCUCGGCUUAUCAGAGGUGUACCUCAAUACAGGGAACUUUGGUAUACAGUUUUUUGCUCUUUUAACUGUCAAACUCAGCUAGGAUCUGUGUCUUUAUUGUAGUACUGGUGAUUUUGUGUGAAGUGGUGCAGGUGGAAUCUUCCUAUUAUGAAGCUGGAGGAUACAAACAAACCCUUUGUAAAAAAUCAUGGCUUGUGAGAGAGGUAGGCGUUCAAAGCAAAAACCGUAUGUCUGUGUUUUCUAAAUAUGGGAAUUCUGGAUAUCUACGAGGGCUUCCCGCUAUUGUCAUAACCUGCGGUGUCUGGUGGGAUAUUUUUUCACAUGUGGGGUAUCACUUACUUGAUCUCAAGUUGACAGCACCCUUUUUCCAUAAAAGAAUAGAAGAGCGUGAAAGAUCAGAGAGGAAAGUGAAGCAUGAUCAUAGGAGUGUAUGUCCGGCCACUGUUAAGUUAGAGACGGGGCAAUGAAGGUGAAACAGACGCUGAGAAGAAAGGCGACAAGCUUUGGAAAUUGCUGGAGUUAUUCUGCUUCAUCUUGGAAAUGCAGGAUUCGACUCUCAAUUGUUGCCUCGCUGCCAUAGGCAAAAAGAAGAAAGAAGCAAUACAGUAGAAGGUAUCAACCUUGUUCGUUUAUAAGCGGCAACACAAACGAUGUAUGUGGCAGAGCUGUGUUUGGUUUAGAACGGGGAUACGGACAACAGAUGCAUGACUCUCGGAGACUUGGUAUUUUGUUCAGCUACGAAGCAUAAGAGCCAGCAGCUUGUUCUUGGAGUUGUUCCUGUUCACGCAAACCCCUUUUGUUAGAGACGGAUAUGUCAAAGCAUCAUGUAAAUGACUGCGCAAAUGAAUUACCCUGUACGUUCGUCAUGGACAAAGAAAAUCAGAUAGCCUCCAUCCUCCUCGGCUGUACAGCCAGUCUCUUGUGGGAC